UGCGGGGUAGAGCAGUUGGUAGCUCGUCGGGCUCAUAACCCGGAGGUCGUAGGUUCAAGUCCUACCCCCGCUA
rnacentral:tRNA from 1 species